rnacentral:ncRNA from 1 species
UACAUAUUGAUGCGGACAGGUGUUUACCACGCUAUAUUUGGUAGACUUAAUAGGGAAGUCGGUGAGAUUCCGACGCGGUCCCGCCACUGUGAUGAGAGAGUUCCAUUUGCUUGUGAUCGCCACUGAUUGAGCCAAUCGGGAAGGCCAAAUGGAGCAAUGACCCCAAGCCAGGAGACCUGCCUGACUGCAAGCACUGUG